CCUCCCUUCACGUUUUAUUUUCCUUUGCGCCUCCUCCUCCUCUUACUCCUUCCUCUCGCUCCUGCGCUCCCUUUCGGGUUCGCUUCCCCGCGUCCCUCUGCUUUUGUUACCCCUCCCCUCGCUCCCUCCCGCUCCCCGCCCCCGCGUGGCACUGCGGAGCCGGAGACGUGACCCGAGCGGACUCGCUUCCCCGCAGCUCCAGCCUCUCCCCGCAGAGUCGCAUGUCCUCGAUCCAGAACCUCCAAUCCUUCGACCCCUUUGCUGAUGCAACAAAGGGCGACGACUUACUCCCGGCGGGGACAGAGGAUUACAUUCAUAUAAGGAUCCAGCAACGAAACGGAAGAAAGACACUAACAACUGUUCAGGGCAUUGCAGAUGAUUAUGACAAGAAGAAACUUGUGAAAGCCUUCAAAAAGAAAUUUGCUUGUAAUGGUACUGUGAUUGAGCAUCCUGAAUACGGUGAAGUUAUCCAGCUGCAGGGUGACCAGAGGAAGAACAUUUGCCAAUUCCUCUUGGAGAUUGGCAUUGUCAAGGAAGAACAACUGAAAGUUCAUGGUUUCUAACAUACCUGUACUCUUAUGAAGAACCCUGCAGUAUUGGUCUUACCUAUCCUGGCUCUUCUGUGAAAAAUGAAUCUUGGCAGUGAAUGGACUUCCCUGUUACCUGAACAUAYACAAUUUGAUUCAGAUUUGCAUGACUGCAUGAAACAGGUGGUGUGUAGUCUAGAAACACAUAAGAAAACUUCAGUAAGAUGAUUUUUGAGUUCAGAUAUGAAGCCUUAGGACACUAGGAGCAAUUAGGGGAGCAUUAUAUGACUAUUUCUUUCUCCGUCUGAUGUAGACAAUUCCACUUGUAAAAAUCCAGUCUCUCAAUUUCCACAAAUUCUGCCUGAUCUUACAGAUCUUAACUGUUCCAGAGAAAGGAUGGUCCAGAAGAUUGUAUACUGCUAAGGUGCAAUACGUUCAGGAAGAGGGAAUGCCUGCUGCAAAACGCAAAAUACCCACAUACCAAAUGAAAAUCCAAAAAUAAAUCUUAUGCAAGUCUUGCAGAUGAGCAGAAUAAAAUCAUUCUACUGCAAGUUUACCUAGUCCUGAUUCUUAAAUGCUAAACUAAUCAAUCUUUUGUGGGUACAUAGCAAUUAGUGAUUUUCAUUUUAUCACAUGCCAGAAAAACUGAUAUUCUCAUUGAAAGCUUGUUCUCCUACCCAAAAGGAAAAACAAGCAUUAUCUUCUAUUUUACUGGUAUUCCAUAAGUACUUCUAGUGGGCUUUGAMUUGAAGAUUAACAAAUGACUAGCAGGUCUCGUGUUACUGAGUCAGUCUUCAUUUCAGAUGGCAUUCCAUUAACUUUUGCUACCUAAGCUUGAGUCAUUUCUCCCUAGUCAUUCUGCUUGGAAUAAAAAGGAAAAAUCUUUGGUUUUCUGCUUCCUCGUUUAAAAAUCCUUUCUGGUAGGAGGAUCCUUGCAAUUGAUAGGUGGCUUGGGUGGAGAUGCUUGUGUUUUGACCUUAGAAGGGYAAAAUUAUAAGGACAUGUAAUAAGAAAUAACACAUUUGAAGUUUUAAAGAGAUGAGAUUUGUUGUGACAACAAACCAUUUAAUCUUUCUAGAAGAGCAGAAAUUUUUGUCCUUGAGUGUUUUAAACUAAAWCAGUGUUUCUAAGAUUGUAAUUAGCCUUGUUCGUGCCCAAACCUCUCUGUAUGUUCUGGAUGAAAGGCUUCAACAAUAUCAUGUUUUGUCAUAUUGUUCUGAAAUGUCUUUGUCAAAGCUAARCUUAUUUGGACUACCUAUCCAUAUUUUAAGAAUGCUGAAAAUGAAGGCUUUGGAAAAGAACUGUUUAAAGUGCUACCACAAUAAUCUAUUUUCAGGAUGAAGGCAGGUUUCAAUCUUUUUAUCUAUUUCAAAAUAGGUUAAAAGAUGUUAAAGGAUGUGGCCCGUAAUUGUCCAGGAAGUAAAAAGGAGCUUAUAAUAGAAAACACUUCUGAAAUCCACUAAUAGGACUUGAGGCUGGCCAAGCUAAGACUGUGAAGAGCAGUGGUUUGUUUUUUUUGUUGGAAUAUUGGGAAGUCUGUGUCCUUCAGACCUACAAGUCAUGAUUGCCUUCCUAAUGGUACUUAGGCAUAAUCUCAAGGUGUUAUUGGAUGUAGAAACUUUUUUUUUAAAUUCACAGCCUUGUGCGUAGUUUUAUUAGGCUGUUCUACUGACUGUGAGCUGACACACUGAAGUAAGGUAUUGCAUAAAUAAAUUCAUUGUCUCUUCUGAGUCUACRUCUACUUAAUGAAGGUGUGAGCAAUGAAACCCUCUCUUCCUAAAUGCUGRUAGCAGUUCUUGUUUGUAGAAUAUGAGAUUUAGUCAUUUAAGUGUGUAAGCUGCCUACUUCCUCUUGCUGUGUGAGCUAUCAGGCCCUUGGCUGUCACCUGUGGUCUGCUAAAUCUGACUGUCUCAGAGAUGGGUAUGGGGGGCAUAACUAUGGGCAGGUAAUUUUCUCGAGUGRGAUAACCUUUGAAAAGAGGAAUGCCUGGCCUGUGUGUGUGUACUGUUCAUUGCCACAGUGGCUUUGCUUAAACCUUGAUUCCUGAACUGCAUUUUUGCACAGCCURAAUGAAAAACAUUUUGUUUGGGAGAGCUUCUUUGGAGGGAGAGGAGGAAAUUAGAAAAAAAAAAAAAAAACCCUAUGUCUUAGGACAUAUGUUUAUAUCUGAAGUCUGUUUUCAUUAAUUUACAUUCCUGGACUGCAAGACCUCUGUAAUACUGUUACUUUUCYCUCUCUCUCUCUGUAGCUUUAUAAAUCCUAGUUAAACGUCCUUCAGAGUUGGACACUUGAGGUUCUAAAUAUAUCUAAAAUGAUUAUAAAACUUUAAAUUUUGAAGAAUCAUUGAAGCUUAAGUUUCAACUAUUUGAAAUAAUAACAAUUAGGCAGAACUCCUCAUUUUUUCCUAUACUGCKAUCUUGCUUAUAGUUGGAAUGUAGGUGCCCUGAAGAUGCAUUUGUUAYUUACAGCCAGGCAGUAAUCAGAUAUCCCUGCUGUAAUGCCAUACCCCCUGUUUGUAGGGUUUUUAAAAAUUUUAUCUGAAGUGCAGCACUCUUACAGCCUGURCUACUAUAAUUUUGCAGUAUGGGACAGUUGUACCUUGAGUUCYAGUGAGCAAUUAUCUUUUCCUUAAUCCUUCUGCGAGGCUCUAGUGUACGGAGUCCAUGUGUUACACCUUUAAGAGGCUCACCUGUGUUAUACUUUAAGUUCCUCACACUGUAUUAAAAUAUAUAAAGAUGGAUAUUUAGCCAGUUAAAGAGGGUAGCAGGCUUUUUUAUAACUCACUUUGGGACACAUCAGGGGUUCCUUUUUCCUUGUAUGUGUUCGGUGUUGAUCGGUGUCACCAAACAUUCCUCUUACUGAUGGGCUGCUGCCAUUGGGGAGAUGGAAGUGGGCUUAGAGGAGUGUGUGUGUAAGUACUAUGACUUUCUACAUCUGUAACCAGGGAUCUAUCCYCUGUGCAUGGCAACAUGAAGUUUGUUUUCCUUGCCAGAUCAAAAACUCUUGAGAUCAUUAAGGGAAAAAUGGCAUAGUUGUUUUAUGUUUUCUGUACAGAUAUUUUAUGCCUACUGUUUCCACUGUAGAUUAAAAAUACAAAAAUUAUUUUAAAAGAGGAUUUGUACUUGACAUACUUUUUWAAGUUUGCUAUGUGCCUGUCAUGGAUCUCUUAAUGAACAAGUCUUAAGCUGUAUUGGAGUAUUGCUACAGAGCWGAGACAACAAAGUCUUUUAAAAUAGUGCCAGUGUUAUUUGCUGUAUGCUUUUCUAAAACAAAUGGAAUUUUAUGCUGUUGUUAAGGAGGAUUAUUUUUCUUUUGGUGGAAGAUAAAAGUAACAGAAUUUAAUACA